GCCCUCCUGAUGCUUACCACAGGCUGUGUGCCACCUCCCACUGCCUGUAUAGAAAGAGGAGGAAAAGCAUCUUCUCCGUCUACACCACAGGCCCGCAGAGUGUGGAGGCUGUCUUGUUAUCGGGGAUACAGAU